rnacentral:rRNA from 1 species
AUUGAACGCUGGCGGCAGGCCUAACACAUGCAAGUCGAGCGAGCGGCGGACGGGUGAGUAAUGUCUGGGAAACUGCCUGAUGGAGGGGGAUAACUACUGGAAAAGGUAGCUAAUACCGCAUAACAUCAGAUGUGCGCAGAUGGGAUUAGCUAGUGGGUGGGGUAACGGCCCACCAAGGCGACGAUCCCUAGCUGGUCUGACAGGAUGACCAGCCACACUGGAACUGAGACACGGCCCAGACUCCUACGGGAGGCAGCAGUGGGGAAUAUUGCACAAUGGGCGCAAGCCUGAUGCAGCCAUGCCGCGUGUGUGAAGAAGGCCUUCGGGUUGUAAAGCACUUUCAGCUGAGAUGCGUUACCCGCAGAAGAAGCACCGGCUAACUCCGUGCCAGCAGCCGCGGUAAUAC